AUACUGACCUGGCAGGGGAGACACCAUGAUCACGAAGGUGGUUUUCCCAGGGCGAGGCUUAUCCAUUGCACUCCGGGUGUGCUGACCCCUGCGAUUUCCCCAAACGUGGGGAACUCAACUGCAUAAUUUGUGGUAGUGGGGAACUGUGUGUGCACUCUCCCCUG
rnacentral:snRNA from 1 species